GCCAAUUGGCUGUAUCACAUGGAAGUUGUACCCGUCAGCACCUGCUGACGGCUUUGUUGUCCAAACCCUGACAGGUAAAAAAAUUCCUGCAGAAUAAAGCCAGACCAGCUGGCUUUGAAGAGAAACCCCCCAGUUUGGGCUGCGUUUGCCUCCUCUCCUUUUCUAUGAAGACCGAGGCUUUGCCCCCUUGAUCGUCAAGCCGUGAGAUGCGUGAUCUCUCUGCACAAGUGUCUGGCAGGCCGAGGGCACCACUUUAAGAUAAAAACAUAGACCUGAAUGGCAUCAUCCAGUAUCCAAGGAAACCAUGUUCUCUAAACAUGAGUAUGCCUUUGGGGGAAGACAGAAGAACAUGGAAGCCAUGU
rnacentral:antisense_RNA from 1 species